rnacentral:rRNA from 1 species
AACGCUAGCUACAGGCUUAACACAUGCAAGUCGAGGGGAAACGACAUCGAAAGCUUGCUUUUGAUGGGCGUCGACCGGCGCACGGGUGAGUAACGCGUAUCCAACCUGCCCACCACUUGGGGAUAACCUUGCGAAAGUAAGACUAAUACCCAAUGAUAUCUCUAGAAGACAUCUGAAAGAGAUUAAAGAUUUAUCGGUGAUGGAUGGGGAUGCGUCUGAUUAGCUUGUUGGCGGGGUAACGGCCCACCAAGGCAACGAUCAGUAGGGGUUCUGAGAGGAAGGUCCCCCACAUUGGAACUGAGACACGGUCCAAACUCCUACGGGAGGCAGCAGUGAGGAAUAUUGGUCAAUGGGCGCGAGCCUGAACCAGCCAAGUAGCGUGAGGGAUGACGGCCCUAUGGGUUGUAAACCUCUUUUAUGCGGGAAUAAAAUGUUUGACGUGUCAUACAUUGUAGGUACCGCAAGAAUAAGGACCGGCUAAUUCCGUGCCAGCAGCCGCGGUAAUACGGAAGGUCCAGGCGUUAUCCGGAUUUAUUGGGUUUAAAGGGAGCGUAGGCCGCAAGUCAAGCGUGUUGUGAAAUGCAGGGGCUCAACCUCUGGAUUGCAGCGCGAACUGGCAUGCUUGAGUACGCACGAGGUAGGCGGAAUUUGUGGUGUAGCGGUGAAAUGCUUAGAUAUCACGAAGAACUCCGAUUG